rnacentral:rRNA from 1 species
UUAAGCGACUAAGCGUACACGGUGGAUGCCCUGGCAGUCAGAGGCGAUGAAGGACGUGCUAAUCUGCGAUAAGCGUCGGUAAGGUGAUAUGAACCGUUAUAACCGGCGAUUUCCGAAUGGGGAAACCCAGUGUGAUUCGUCACACUAUCAUUAACUGAAUCCAUAGGUUAAUGAGGCGAACCGGGGGAACUGAAACAUCUAAGUACCCCGAGGAAAAGAAAUCAACCGAGAUUCCCCCAGUAGCGGCGAGCGAACGGGGAGCAGCCCAGAGCCUGAAUCAGUGUGUGUGUUAGUGGAAGCGUCUGGAAAGGCGUGCGAUACAGGGUGACAGCCCCGUACACAAAAAUGCACAUAUUGUGAGCUCGAUGAGUAGGGCGGGACACGUGGUAUCCUGUCUGAAUAUGGGGGGGACCAUCCUCCAAGGCUAAAUACUCCUGACUGACCGAUAGUGAACCAGUACCGUGAGGGAAAGGCGAAAAGAACCCCGGCGAGGGGAGUGAAAAAGAACCUGAAACCGUGUACGUACAAGCAGUGGGAGCACGCUUAGGCGUGUGACUGCGUACCUUUUGUAUAAUGGGUCAGCGACUUAUAUUCUGUAGCAAGGUUAACCGAAUAGGGGAGCCGAAGGGAAACCGAGUCUUAACUGGGCGUUAAGUUGCAGGGUAUAGACCCGAAACCCGGUGAUCUAGCCAUGGGCAGGUUGAAGGUUGGGUAACACUAACUGGAGGACCGAACCGACUAAUGUUGAAAAAUUAGCGGAUGACUUGUGGCUGGGGGUGAAAGGCCAAUCAAACCGGGAGAUAGCUGGUUCUCCCCGAAAGCUAUUUAGGUAGCGCCUCGUGAAUUCAUCUCCGGGGGUAGAGCACUGUUUCGGCAAGGGGGUCAUCCCGACUUACCAACCCGAUGCAAACUGCGAAUACCGGAGAAUGUUAUCACGGGAGACACACGGCGGGUGCUAACGUCCGUCGUGAAGAGGGAAACAACCCAGACCGCCAGCUAAGGUCCCAAAGUCAUGGUUAAGUGGGAAACGAUGUGGGAAGGCCCAGACAGCCAGGAUGUUGGCUUAGAAGCAGCCAUCAUUUAAAGAAAGCGUAAUAGCUCACUGGUCGAGUCGGCCUGCGCGGAAGAUGUAACGGGGCUAAACCAUGCACCGAAGCUGCGGCAGCGACACUAUGUGUUGUUGGGUAGGGGAGCGUUCUGUAAGCCUGUGAAGGUGUACUGUGAGGUAUGCUGGAGGUAUCAGAAGUGCGAAUGCUGACAUAAGUAACGAUAAAGCGGGUGAAAAGCCCGCUCGCCGGAAGACCAAGGGUUCCUGUCCAACGUUAAUCGGGGCAGGGUGAGUCGACUCCUAAGGCGAGGCCGAAAGGCGUAGUCGAUGGGAAACAGGUUAAUAUUCCUGUACUUGGUGUUACUGCGAAGGGGGGACGGAGAAGGCUAUGUUGGCCGGGCGACGGUUGUCCCGGUUUAAGCGUGUAGGCUGGUUUUCCAGGCAAAUCCGGAAAACUAAGGCUGAGGCGUGAUGACGAGGCACUACGGUGCUGAAGCAACAAAUGCCCUGCUUCCAGGAAAAGCCUCUAAGCAUCAGGUAACAUCAAAUCGUACCCCAAACCGACACAGGUGGUCAGGUAGAGAAUACCAAGGCGCUUGAGAGAACUCGGGUGAAGGAACUAGGCAAAAUGGUGCCGUAACUUCGGGAGAAGGCACGCUGAUAUGUAGGUGAAGUCCCUCGCGGAUGGAGCUGAAAUCAGUCGAAGAUACCAGCUGGCUGCAACUGUUUAUUAAAAACACAGCACUGUGCAAACACGAAAGUGGACGUAUACGGUGUGACGCCUGCCCGGUGCCGGAAGGUUAAUUGAUGGGGUCAGCGCAAGCGAAGCUCUUGAUCGAAGCCCCGGUAAACGGCGGCCGUAACUAUAACGGUCCUAAGGUAGCGAAAUUCCUUGUCGGGUAAGUUCCGACCUGCACGAAUGGCGUAAUGAUGGCCAGGCUGUCUCCACCCGAGACUCAGUGAAAUUGAACUCGCUGUGAAGAUGCAGUGUACCCGCGGCAAGACGGAAAGACCCCGUGAACCUUUACUAUAGCUUGACACUGAACAUUGAGCCUUGAUGUGUAGGAUAGGUGGGAGGCUUUGAAGUGUGGACGCCAGUCUGCAUGGAGCCGACCUUGAAAUACCACCCUUUAAUGUUUGAUGUUCUAACGUUGACCCGUAAUCCGGGUUGCGGACAGUGUCUGGUGGGUAGUUUGACUGGGGCGGUCUCCUCCUAAAGAGUAACGGAGGAGCACGAAGGUUGGCUAAUCCUGGUCGGACAUCAGGAGGUUAGUGCAAUGGCAUAAGCCAGCUUGACUGCGAGCGUGACGGCGCGAGCAGGUGCGAAAGCAGGUCAUAGUGAUCCGGUGGUUCUGAAUGGAAGGGCCAUCGCUCAACGGAUAAAAGGUACUCCGGGGAUAACAGGCUGAUACCGCCCAAGAGUUCAUAUCGACGGCGGUGUUUGGCACCUCGAUGUCGGCUCAUCACAUCCUGGGGCUGAAGUAGGUCCCAAGGGUAUGGCUGUUCGCCAUUUAAAGUGGUACGCGAGCUGGGUUUAGAACGUCGUGAGACAGUUCGGUCCCUAUCUGCCGUGGGCGCUGGAGAACUGAGGGGGGCUGCUCCUAGUACGAGAGGACCGGAGUGGACGCAUCACUGGUGUUCGGGUUGUCAUGCCAAUGGCACUGCCCGGUAGCUAAAUGCGGAAGAGAUAAGUGCUGAAAGCAUCUAAGCACGAAACUUGCCCCGAGAUGAGUUCUCCCUGACUCCUUGAGAGUCCUGAAGGAACGUUGAAGACGACGACGUUGAUAGGCCGGGUGUGUAAGCGCAGCGAUGCGUUGAGCUAACCGGUACUAAUGAACCGUGAGGCUUAACCUU